UUGCUGUGAUGAUCGUAAGGGUUAUUGAUGAUAUUCAUGGAAUGUCUCAUGAGAUUUUGACAAUUAUGUCAAACCUGAGCGGUUACCUGAGCAA